rnacentral:misc_RNA from 1 species
AAGUCGUAACAAGGUUUCCGUAGGUGAACCUGCGGAAGGAUCAUUAACACGUAUCGUACGUUUAAAAACCCCGUGCACGUUGAUAAAAAUUCUUUCCAAGUAGCGGUUGAGACUUGCGUGCACAGCGCGAGUCUUAAUUGCGAAAGGCCGCGGUGAUGACGUUCGAUCUUGGUUCUC